CCAGACUCCUAGGAGGCAGCAGUGGGGAAUAUUGCACAAUGGGGGAAACCCUGAUGCAGCGACGCCGCGUGAGUGAAGAAGUAUUUCGGUAUGUAAAGCUCUAUCAGCAGGGAAGAAAAUGACGGUACCUGACCAAGAAGCCCCGGCUAACUACGUGCCAGCAGCCGCGGUAAUACGUAGGGGGCAAGCGUUAUCCGGAUUUACUGGGUGUAAAGGGAGCGUAGACGGCAUGGCAAGUCAGAUGUGAAGGCCCGGGGCUCAACCCCGGGACUGCAUUUGAAACUGUCAGGCUGGAGUGCAGGAGAGGUAAGUGGAAUUCCUAGUGUAGCGGUGAAAUGCGUAGAUAUUAGGAGGAACACCAGUGGCGAAGGCGGCUUACUGGACUGUAACUGACGUUGAGGCUCGAAAGCGUGGGGAGCAAACAGGAUUAGAUAACCCAGUAC
rnacentral:rRNA from 1 species